GAGAAGAACAGGAAACUGCAGAAGAAGCAUGAGUUGCUGGAGGAGGCUCGCAGGCAGAGUCUUCCCUUCGCCCAGUGGGACGGCCCUACUGUAGUGGUCUGGCUGGAGCUGUGGGUGGGUAUGCCAGCCUGGUACGUGGCGGCGUGUCGUGCCAAUGUGAAGAGUGGUGCCAUCAUGUCUGCCCUGUCGGACACAGAGAUCCAGAGGGAGAUUGGCAUCAGUAACCCCCUGCACCGCCUCAAACUGAGACUGGCCAUCCAGGAGAUCAUGUCUCUCAC